AGGGUCAGAAGGAAGCUACUGAGAUCGCCUCAUCAUAGUGCUCCACGAUGGAUUCGGUGGUGCAUGUUGUCACGUUUUAUGUCAAUGUUUCCACCAGUGUGAGGAUGAGUCUUGAUGACAUCGGCUAAGGUGGCAUGAUUCUGUAACACUUAUCCUUCAUUUUCGAGUCUGAAGUGGUCACUUCGGAUGAAGGAAGUUGUCUGUGAGAGAGAUUCUCAGAGCUUAUCUAAGUUGGUGAACCCGAGGUAUUCGUUUUCUAGAUGUGCAUUGUUUCAUAGAACUUGACUUCGAUUUGACAAGCCGCUUCACGAAUCACGCCUCUAUUAUUUUGGAGAGAUUAGGCACUUUGUGAGUCUUGAAGUAUUUAUAAGGGACGAACAGCUC
rnacentral:lncRNA from 1 species